rnacentral:tRNA from 1 species
GGAGAGGUGCCGGAGCGGCCGAACGGGUACGCUUGGAAAGCGUAAGUACUCGCAAGGGUACCGAGGGUUCGAAUCCCUCCCUCUCCGCCA